UCACGGCGCUGGGACCCGGGCUGGAAGGCAGGGCAUCAGCUAUGGAACAACCUGGGCAGGAUCCCACCUCAGACGACGUCAUGGACUCUUUCCUGGAAAAGUUCCAGAGCCACCCUUACCGUGGCGGCUUUCAUGAGGACCAGUGGGAGAAGGUGGGCGGUCCUGGGGUCUCCCCACGUGUAUAGGGGCGUCGUCCGGACUCGUGGGGCACCCGGGCUCUGGGGCGCCUCCCUCAAUCCCAGAUCCCUGGCGCUGCCAGCCGAUCGCUGGUUUCUAGGAAUUUGAAAAGGUCCCCCUAUUUAUGACGAGAGCGCCAUCAGAAAUUGAUCCCAGGGAGAAUCCUGACUUGGCUUGUCUCCAGUCAAUUAUUUUUGAUGAGGAGCGUUCUCCAGAAGAACAGGCCAAGACCUAUAAAGAUGAGGGCAAUGAUUACUUUAAAGAAAAAGACUACAAGAAAGCUGUAAUUUCAUACACUGAAGGCUUAAAGAAGAAAUGUGCAGAUCCUGAUUUGAAUGCUGUCCUUUAUACCAACCGGGCAGCAGCACAGUACUAUCUGGGCAAUUUUUGUUCUGCUCUCAAUGAUGUGACAGCUGCCAGAAAGCUAAAACCCUGCCACCUCAAAGCAAUAAUAAGAGGUGCCUUAUGCCAUCUGGAACUGAAACACUUUGCUGAGGCCGUGAACUGGUGUGAUGAGGGACUGCAAAUAGAUGCCAAAGAGAAGAAGCUUCUGGAAAUGAGGGCUAAAGCAGACAAGCUGAAGCGAAUUGAACAGAGGGAUGUGAGGAAAGCCAACCUGAAAGAAAAGAAGGAGAGGAAUCAGAAUGAGGCUUUACUCCAGGCCAUCAAGGCUAGGAAUAUCAGGCUCUCAGAAACUGCCUGUGAGGAUGAAGAUUCAGCCUCAGAAGGUCUAGGUGAGCUUUUCCUGGAUGGACUCAGCACUGAGAACCCCCAUGGAGCCAGGCUGAGUCUAGAUGACCAGGGCAGGCUGAGCUGGCCUGUGCUCUUUCUGUACCCAGAGUAUGCCCAGUCGGACUUCAUCUCUGCUUUUCAUGAGGACUCCAGGUUUAUUGAUCAUCUGAUGGUGAUGUUUGGUGAAACACCCUCUUGGGACCUAGAGCAAAAAUAUUGCCCUGAUAAUUUGGAGGUCUACUUUGAGGAUGAGGACAGGGCAGAACUAUACCGGGUGCCUGCCAAGAGCACCUUGCUACAGGUUCUACAGCACCAGAGGUACUUUGUAAAAGCCCUGACACCAGCAUUUUUGGUCUGUGUAGGAUCCUCUCCUUUUUGCAAGAAUUAUCUCCGGGGGAGAAAGGUGUACCAGAUACGAUGACUAAGCCAGGGCCCCUGGAUCUCCUCCCUCACCCUCCUCUGCUGGGAACCUAGCACACCUGAAUCAGCUGGACAUACUGCUGGAGUCCAGUGCUUUCUUUCCGUCACCCUGGGGAUAGUCCUUCCUGGCAUCAUGGUGGGGGAGGAGCCUCUGGCUUCCCUAAACUGCAGCCUCUCUGGCUGGUCUUCACUUUCCUCAGUUGAUAUAAAACUCUGGGCCUUGGCCAUGAUGUCCUUGGACUCCAUCGCUAAAGGGACCAUCUGCUGCAGUUACCACAGCAACUGACCUGAGUGGCACCCUGGUCUGUGGAGAUGGACUCAGGAUCCAGUGACAUGAUUCUGAACUUUUGUGGAGUGUGACACCUUAGAGAAGCUACCCCUCAAACUGCACAUCUACACACAAACAAACAAUGCAUAGGAUUCCAAGGCUUUAAAGCUGAGAGACCCUGGCCUCAAGUUAUUUCAUGCGCACAGAGGGAAGCCAUGUGGGGUUGCUGCAGAUGCCUUGAGGUGAAAUGGGGGCAGGAAAGCCACAUCUUGCUCUGCAUUUAUAAAGACCGUACAAACUGAGAUCCUUGGUACCCCUAAAAAGAUUGCCAAUUUUCUUCAUCUUUGCCAUAUGGAGGACUGUGACAGACUUGGACAGUGGCCUCUUGAGUUCCUCUGCAGUUUUGACAUUUAGGAUUUUGUGUCUUUUAAACUGGAAAAUCUUCUAGCAUGUUGGGUUGUUACAGAGUAUAUUUUUGUCUGCAGCUGUUUGUUGCCCCGUUCCUAAGAGGAGUUUAUCCAUCCUG
rnacentral:sRNA from 1 species